AUUCCAGCUCCAAUAGCGUAUAUUAAAGUUGUUGCAGUUAAAAAGCUCGUAGUUGGAUUUCUGGAGGGAGCUACCGGCCCGCCCCUUCUGGGGCGUCGGCUAGUGUGCCUCUCGCCAUACUUGUGGAGAGCCAGUCUGGCCUUAACUGGUCGGGCUGGGGAUCUGCAUCAUUUACUGUGAAAAAUUAGAGUGUUUAAAGCAGGCAUAUGCCUUGAAUACAUUAGCAUGGAAUAAUAAGAUAGGACUUUGGCCUAUUUUGUUGGUUUGCAAGCCAGGGUAAUGAUUAAUAGGGAUAGUUGGGGGUAUUCAUAUUUAAUUGUCAGAGGUGAAAUUUCUUGGAUUUAUGAAAGAUGAACAACUGCGAAAGCAUUUUACCAAGGAUGUUUUUCAUUAAUCAAGAACGAAAGUCAGGGGAUCGAAGAGGAUUAGAUACCCUCGUAGUCUUGACCAUAAACUAUGCCGACUCGGGAUUGGCGGACGUUUGUUUA
rnacentral:rRNA from 1 species